rnacentral:rRNA from 1 species
UCGGGUUGUAAAGCACUUUUGUCCGGAAAGAAAACCUUUGGGCUAAUACCGUGAGGGGAUGACGGUACCGGAAGAAUAAGCACCGGCUAACUACGUGCCAGCAGCGCGGUAAUCGUAGGGUGCGAGCGUUAAUCGGAAUUACUGGGCGUAAAGCGUGCGCAGGCGGUUCGUUAAGACAGAUGUGAAAUCCCCGGGCUUAACCUGGGAACUGCAUUUGUGACUGGCGAGCUAGAGUAUGGCAGAGGGGGGUAGAAUUCCACGUGUAGCAGUGAAAUGCGUAGAGAUGUGGAGGAAUACCGAUGGCGAAGGCAGCCCCCUGGGCCAAUACUGACGCUCAUGCACGAAAGCGUGGGGAGCAAACAGGAUUAGAUACCCUGGUAGUCCACGCCCUAAACGAUGUCAACUAGUUGUUGGGGAUUCAUUUCCUUAGUAACGUAGCUAACGCGUGAAGUUGACCGCCUGGGGAGUACGGUCGCAAGAUUAAAACUCAAAGGAAUUGACGGGGACCCGCACAAGCGGUGGAUGAAUGUGGAUUAAUUCGAUGCAACGCGAAAAACCUUACCUACCCUUGACAUGGUCGGAACCUGCUG